AUGCUUACCUGGAUGGGGUCAAUGGAUGAUCAUGAAAGGUUCAUGACCUAGGAUUGUGACCUCCAUUGCACUUAGGAGGGUUGCUUUCGUAAGAUCUACCCAAGUGAUGGAGUCUACAUCAUAAUUUGUUACCGUGGAGGCUGCGUUCGCGCGGCCCCCUC